rnacentral:rRNA from 1 species
AUGAUGCGUCGCGGGGUUGCCGGCAUGGCGCUGCUGCUCGUGCUGCUUCUCCUCCUCUCGGGGUGGUCGGCGAUGGGGACUCCGCGUUCACGCGAGAGAUGGGAGGAGGGGGAGGGGGAGUGGCGGCCGGAGGAAGAGGCCAAGGGCGGCGGCGGGAGUGGCGGGACUGGGAAAGGCCUGUUCUUGCUGGACAAGGUGGAGAAGGUGGUGGAGUCGGAAGGUGGGAGUGUGCACGUCGUGCGCGGGCUGCCCGUGCCGGAAGCACCGUGGCAGCACGGCGGGUGGUCCGCCGAGUGCGGAGCUUGCCGGGAGGGGCUCAUGCACAUCGGCUUCAUAACCAUGGAGCCCAAGACGCUGUUCGUGCCGCAGUACAUCGACUCCAACCUCAUCCUCUUCGUGCAGCGAGGGGAUGUGAAGGUUGGAUGGAUCCACAAGGGCGGUCUCGUGGAGAAGCAGCUCAAGAUGGGCGACGUCCUACAGAUCGACGCCGGCUCCAUCUUCUACAUGGUCAACACAGGCAAAGGCCAGAGGCUGCACAUCAUAUGCAGUAUCGACGCCUCGGAUAGCGCAGGCUUCGCACCUUAUCAGUCCUUCUAUCUUGGUGGGGGAGGGAAACAGACCUCAGUGCUGGCCGGAUUCGAGCCAAAGAUUCUUGUCACCGCUCUCAACACCACUUACGACGAACUGGGAAGAAUCUUACCCGUGCGAACCGGUGGAACCGGGGGCCCUUUCGUGUCCUACACAACGGAGUCCGGGAGCGGUGGCAAAGAGCAUGGACAGGGAGGCGAGCGUGAUGUGGGGGAAAAUGGAAGGGAGAGCGAGCCAUGGAGACCAGUGGGGAGAGGCGACGACGACGAACCCGGUAGCGGGCAAUCCACUUGGACUUGGUCGUGGAGGAAACUGAUGAGCAGGUUCAUCGGAGGGGAGCUGAACAAGAAGUCGGACAAGACUCUGCGCGCGCCGGAGCCUUACAACCUGUUCGACCACGAGCCCAGCUUCCGGAACACCUAUGGCUGGAGCAUCUCCGUCGACAAGCACGACUACGAGCCCUUGGACCACUCCGACAUCGGCGUCUAUCUCGUCGACCUCACCGCCGGCUCGAUGAUGGCGCCACACGUGAACCCGAGGGCAACGGAGUACGGCGUGGUGCUCGCCGGGGAAGGCGUCAUCCAGGUGGUCUUCCCCAACGGGUCGCUUGCGAUGAGCGCGGAGGUGCGUGCCGGCGACGUGUUCUGGAUCCCACGCCACCUCCCGUUCGUCCAGGUGGCGUCGCGGGGCGGGCCGUUCGUGUUCUUCGGGUUCACCACGUCGGCGCGGCGGAACAAGCCGCAGUUCCUGACCGGCCCCACCUCUGUCCUCCGCAUGAUGCUCGGGCCGGAGCUCGCGGCCGGGUUGGGCGUCCCUCAGAAGGAAUUGAGGAAGGUGGUGGAGGCCCAGACGGUGGCGGUGAUCGAGCCGCCGUUGCCGGAGAAGGAGAAGGGGCGGAAGGAGAGGGAACCGUUUGUUAUGAAGCAAGUGGCGAGGGAGUGA